UGGGGAAUUUUGGACAAUGGGGGCAACCCUGAUCCAGCAAUGCCGCGUGAGUGAAGAAGGCCUUCGGGUUGUAAAGCUCUUUUGUCAGGGAAGAAACGGGACUGGAUAAUACCUGGUUCUAAUGACGGUACCUGAAGAAUCAGCACCGGCUAACUACGUGCCAGCAGCCGCGGUAAUACGUAGGGUGCAAGCGUUAAUCGGAAUUACUGGGCGUAAAGCGUGCGCAGGCGGUUUUAUAAGUUUGUCGUGAAAGCCCCGGGCUCAACCUGGGAAUGGCGAUGAAGACUGUAAGGCUAGAGUGUGUCAGAGGGGGGUAGAAUUCCACGUGUAGCAGUGAAAUGCGUAGAGAUGUGGAGGAACACCGAUGGCGAAGGCAGCCCCCUGGGAUAACACUGACGCUCAUGCACGAAAGCGUGGGGAGCAAACAG
rnacentral:rRNA from 1 species